rnacentral:lncRNA from 1 species
CAAAGGGCAGCUCCCUUCUCCCGCUCCAAGACCCCCCUCUCUACAUACCUCAGAUUUCCUUUUAUUUCCUCCCCCUUCUAAUUAUCCUGCUUUCUUCUUUGGAUUCCCUUUGUCGCAGUCUUCUCAUUUCCUCUUUCUCUCGCCAGCUGCCAAAGGUUUUCUUUCUGCCUAAUCCCCUGCCCUCCUUGGAUCCUCUUUCAUUCUCCCCUUGCUGUCUUCAGCUUCUUUUAUUAUUUUUUUUUUUUUUUGCUUUCUUUCAAACAUAUAGACAUAGAAGGGACAAACCUUUGUUUAUAAAUUAAAUUAUUUAUCAUGUGACAAUAAAAUAAUAUUGCAUAACAAAUCCUAUAAACACAAAAAUAACGUAAAUAGCUCAAAAAAUAUAAGGAACUAACUAAGAAAAGACGAGUGAAUUCGAAGUAAAAAUAUAUAUAAAUAUGAUCCGAUCAAAUACCCCCACACUUAACUUUUGCUAGUCCUCGAGCAAAACAAAGAAAACAUGAACAAAAGUACUAACAUGAAAAACAUUAGCUUCCCUCCUAUGUGACCCUCAUAGAAUUUCAUUCAAGAAAACAAAUCAUCAAGAACCAUAGCUAGCAUCCAAGGAACUAAUCCAAGUUCAUCUUCCUUAUUCAAAUAUUAGCAGUAAUCUUUGAAAUCAUCCUUGAAGUGUAGUGUGUGAGAUAGCCAUGCUAAUGCAAUUUCAAGUUUUUAUUUUUAAAAUCAUCAUAUGCAAACUAGCGACCUUCUCACGGGAUAUGCACUCAAUCACACAUGUGUUUAGUUUUAAUGUGUUUCGCUCAAAGAAUCAAAUGUGAAAUUUCUACCAUAAGCUUGCAUAAAAAUCACUUCUCCACAGUCAUAAUUGCAAAACUUAAAUCAAGAGGACUUUUAUUGGAUGUAAUGAGGCUUUAGGGAUAGGGUUAUUGAAAUGAAAGAAUAGGAAAACACAAGUUCCAAGCUACAUUGCAAGCAAUUCUUUUGUUUAGAUUUAUAAGAACUCAAGCUCUUCCAACGAUUCUUCUAGCACCUCCAACCACACCCUUAAACUGAAACUUUAAAAAAACUUUUUAUUUUCUUUGUAUACAAUCUUUCUUUUUUUCUUUUUUUUUUUUUUUUUUUUUUUUUUUUUUUUAUUUUUUUAAAUACAAACAUGAAAUACCCCCACACUUAUUCUUUUGCCAAACACCUUCAAAGAGUACUUCACAAACGUUUCUCAUAAGACAAUCUCGCAUUGCUCACUAGCUUGCUUGGAAAGGGUAAGGAAAAAUGUUUCAGGUAUAAGGGUAGACAUAUCUGGUGAUAAGAAAUAAAAGGCUCAACAUACACGGCUCAAAUUGGCAAUCUAAUGAUAUCAUUUUUCUUUGGGAAACAUGGUUAUUUGGGCCAUAGUGGUAAACCUAAUGCCUCUAUCAUUUCCAAGUUCAUGCAAUCAAUGACAAACAUUUCGAAAGAUCGUUACGCAAGUUCUAGAGAUGUAUCUCACAUAAGUUCAUCACACAUGAAAGAAUAGGAGUGUAUGAAAAAUGCACACACUUUCAAUAGGCUCAAAAACUCACAUAGGAUGUAUAUGGUCACUAAAUUCACAUAUGAAGCUUUAAGUCAUACUUUAGUUUCACAUUAACAAGGCUAUGUGCAUUUGGUUUUUCAAAGAUGAUCAAACAUGUACAAAACUAACAAGAGAAUUAGGAAUUUCACAAAACACAUGUUAACUAAGUUCUUGAUGAUCAUGGUUCAAAUUUUUGAUCCAAUUAUAUCAUUGGGUCGGGAAACUAACAAAAAUCUAAUUCAAAACAAUAAGGGAAACAAGACAAUAUUUUUGGAUUUUUAAAAUUUUCCGAUUUUUUUUUUUUUUUUUUUUUUUUUUUUUUUUUUUUUUUAAGAAAACAAAAACUAACAACACAGAAACAAAUGAAAUUCUAGAGAUUUCUACCCCCACACUUAAACUUGGACAUUGUCCCCAAUGUCAGAAAACACUAUAAUGCAAAUAAAAAAAUAAAAUAAAAUAAAUAAAUAAUAAGAAACAAAAUAAAGCAAUUGGACUGAAAACUUCCCUAAUUUGCAGUAAAAUCAAGCGAUGACCCCCAAGCUAAAAUUCUGCAAUCAACUUCAAGGGUGGAAAUAACCAAAAGUUCCUGCAAAGAAAAGAAAUAAUUCAGUUAAGUAACGCAAGAAAAUUAAUUAAAAAAAAAUUGCAAACGAAAAAUUGAAAAUUACGAUAAAAGAUAAUGAAUAAAACUAAUAAGUAAUCAUUGGUCGUGCUUGUUGACUUUCCACAGCUUUCCUCUUGAACAGGGUGACACUUAGCUUUUUACUUGCAAGUGAUGAUUUGAUGAUAUUGUACGGCGAAGCUUUGCUCUUUGGUGAUGUUGCAGUUCCUUAUUUGUUCUCCAAGCAGAUGUGGCAGCUUCUCUAGUUCCUUCAGUUCGGACUCCUUCCGCUGGGAUGAUUGUGCAAGCUGCAUUCUUCUCUGCUUGUUUCUUCUGCACAACGGGCAGGCACGAGGGAAAGGUGUUGGUCCUUAUUUCUUUCUUCAAUCUUUCCAAGUGCCCACCUCUUGCUUUCUUUCUCCUUGUCCCUAGCUGAAUUGUCUCCACAUGCUUCGAGGUAUCAUUUUCACUUCCCUUACUGUCCCCCAGGCAGAUGUGGUAGACGAAGAGAAAGCAUAAAAUGAUGAAGAUGAGUACUCGAGAGCAAGGCUAGGUAAGCAAUCAGGAAGGGGUUCCAGGCAGUUGGCUCCAGAUUGGAAGAUUGAUACCAAAUGCUGGCUGAUUGCUCUCUUUCUCCUUGUCGGAAAACAAAGACAAGGAGAAGGACAUGGAGAAAGCAUGAUAUGAGAUACUCUUGCUUUCAACCUUUAUGAUAUGAAAUACUUUUGCUUUGAAUGGGUUGUUCGCAGGAGUAUCCCAAGGAAUGAGGAACACAGAGUGACUCGAGAGGAUUCUUUGGGAAUGCAUUUUCGGAGAUGAAGAGGUACUGAGAGGGUGUGCCUUUUCUGUGGAAGGCGAAGGUAGAUACUUAUAGGGCUUUUCUUCACAACCGGAACUAUUCUUUCAUUCAUUGUCGGCAGCCGGUGGAUGGAUGAAUAGUACAAAUUACGCGCUUUCUGACAAAGCUGCCCGUAAUUUCCGCAAAGCUGCCAGUUGCAUGUGACAAGUGCUGACUAGGCUGAGAGAGACAGAUGGUUGGAAUCGGCACUUCGACAGACUGCCCGUGAUUUUUCGAGAGCUGAGUUUGCGUGUGACGGGUGACAACACGUCUGGACAAAUUGAUCUUUUGAAAUCCGGGGUUCGGCUCGUGGUUUCUGAGCAAGCCCAGCCUUUUAAGAAAUGAAACGCCUCUUUUGAGAAAAGAAUCCGGCUUUUGAGAAAGGAAACCCUCUUUUGAGAAAAAAAAAUCCGGCUUUGAGAAAGGAGCCCCGACUCUUCGAUUUGCGAGAGGACGCCUUCUCUGAGGAGCGCCUCUUUGAUUUCUUCUUUUUAUAGAGGCGUUAAUUUUGUUCCACAACACACUUGAGCUCCCUCCUGUAAACACUCCCUUCUUGCACUUGUUUAAUCUUGAAUCAUUCCGACUCUCUUCUUUCUUCACCACCUCUGAAAAAUGUCUGGCCCUUCCGAUCGUCGUUUUGACUUGAACAUUGGUGAAGAGGCAGCUCCGCCUUCACCAGACAACAUAUGGCGGCCCAUCCUUCAUAUCCCCUACCGGUCCCCUUACCGUGGGGGAUUCGGUGAUGAAAAAUGACAUGACCGCUGCGGUGGUGGCCCGAAACCUUGUCACUCCCAGAGAUAACAGACUGCUCGCUAGACGGUCUGAUGAAUUGGCGGUUAAGGAGUCUCUGGCUCUUAGCGUGCAGUGUGCGGGUUCCGUGUCCAACAUGGCCCAACGCCUAUAUUGCUCGAACCCGUCACGUUGAAUCGUUGGUGGCUGAAAUACAGAGUCUCAAAGAAGGAGAUUAAAGGACUCAAGCAUGAGAAAUAAACAAUUGCACAAGCUUGCACACAGCUAUGCCACCAAACAUGAAGAGGAAGAAUUGACCAGAUGCAGGACACCGAUGGUCAAAUUUUACUUGAUCAUCGGAGGUUUGUGGGUUUGUUCCAACAACAUCUGCCUUCGUCUUCUGGAGCGGCACCGCGUAGUGAAGCUCCAACUGAUCAACCUCUGCCGCCUCCUCCUUCUGUGGCCCCGCCGACUGCUGAAGCCCCGCCUACUACUGAAGCACCACCCGACCAAUGAAUACUAUUAGUUUACAUCAUUGUAAAAUAUUUGUUUUUUUUUUUUUUUUUUUUUUAAUUUUUUUUUAAUUUUUAUUUUUUUUUUUUUUUUAAAUUUUUUUUUUUUUUUUUUAUGUUUUUUUUUUUUUUUUUUUAUCAUUAAUUUUAAAUUUUAUCUUUUUUUUUUUUUUUAAAUGUAAAUUAAUGUAAAGAGACUUUGGUUAACCUUCCCCCACACUUAAACUAAAUAACACAAACACAAACUCACAGAAAUCAACCAAAUAACACAACUAACUAAACAAAACAAAAUGAAAGCAGUAAAGAUAAGGGUGGAAGAAUGCAAAUCUGAUUGGGUUAGCGAUUCCAAAGUCUCCCUUCGUUGAAUGCUUGGUUGCCUCCCAAGAAGCGCUUGAUUUAACGUCUUUAGCCGGACGCAUCUUUCCUUUAAAUUUCCCUCGGCUCCAUUUGAACCUAAAAUCAAAGAAAGAAAAAUAAAUCAAAUAUCAAAAGUAAAAUACACAAACACCAAUAUAAACAUAAACAAAAACAAAAAUAAAAGGAUUAGCAAAGUUGCUAAUCCCCGGCAACGGCGCCAAAAUUUGAUGUGAAAAUUUCUUGACACACAAAUUAAACCCUCUUUUUGACAAUUGUAGUAUAGAUGUAAGUAGGGUAUCGUUCUAGGCCGGGAAUUAGGAGGGAUUGCUAAUCUAUCCUAAAUUAAUUUAAAAAUAUUAAACAAGACUCAAGGAUACAAAACUAGGCUAAAAACUCUAAUAACUCGAAACACACUUAAAAUGACUCAAAAUAAUGAAAAUGAUCUUAUUAAAAACACUAAGGAACUGAAAUGGACGGAAAUUGAAAUUAAAAGACUAACAAUAAAGAAAACUAACUAAAUAAUAUAAUUUAAUAAUGGAUGGGUGUUUGGUUUUGAUGAAAAGUAAAUUAAACUUAAUUAAAUUACAGAAUUGACAAAAACAUAAAAUUAAGGUAAAAUGAUAAAUGACAGACUAGUUAGAGGGUUCUUCUCCACACAUGUUAUACUUGCAUACAAAAUGAUUUCCAGUUGUUCUUUUAAUAAAUUGUGAAUUUCAAUACUCCAGAUUAACCGUGAACAGCACUUUUUUAAUCUUCAAGUUUUCCUUAAGUUAUUGAAUUGGACGGAAAAACGCAUACAACAAUUCAAAACAUUCUUCAAAAGUCCCCUACGUGAAAAGCACAAUAGCGAUACAAUCAAAGAUCAUUAAACUUUGUGAAAACUAUAAGCAUUGACGAGACAUUCGUAACUAUGAAAAGCAUGAUACUCUUGCCAAGAAUUUACUUAACGUGAUUGUGACUAGCAACCUUUACUACUUGUGAAAAUAAGUUCAUAACGAUUAGGUGAAAUUCACUUAUAUUCUAGCAUCAAAUUCAUGCAUGUAAAUUAAGCGUGCACUCUCAACCAACAUACACAAAUAAGUUAUCAAUCAAGCAGUUAAGCAAAUUAAAUCACAACUCAGAAAUCACAACUGAAGGUAAUCAAUUCAUAUUACAAAUAUAUUCAUGGCUUUGAAUUAACCUCUAGCCAAAUUAAAUUUAGUUACACAUUAUUAAAACAAAAAUAAAAUAAAAGUUUGGAAAGAUUUAACCGAAAGAGAGUGAAGCCUCUGCUUCUGUGCUACUGCUGCCCCCCCUGGACUCUCCCCGCUGUCUUUCCCCGUGCUCACCUUUUCUCCCCUUGCUCACCUUCUUUUCUUUCAGCUGUCAGUACGUGCUGACUUCUGACCUGCCUCUCCUCCAAUCCCGUGCGCUGCUCAGCUGCAAAGGCAGCUUUUCUUUUCUCCUCUGUCCGCGCCUCACUUUGCACUCCCCUGUCAGUUCUCUCCUCUUUUCUCUCCCUCUCUCUAUUUUUCUUUCUUUCUGUGCCUUCUCUCUCAAGCUGCCAAAUGCAGCGCCUAUCUCACUCUCCCUCCUGACUCCCUCGCUCAAGCUGCCAAAUGGCAGCCUUUCUCUCCUCCUUACGUCAGUCUCAGCUGCCAAGGGCAGCCCGUACCUCACACUUCCUCCUGACCCUUUGCGCCCCGUUCCUUCCUCUGACUGUCUCGCUGACAGUCCCUCCUAUCUCUCCCCUAUUCUCUUUUCUUCGUCCUUCUGCGAGCUGCCCAAAGGGCAGCUCCCUUCUCCGCUCCAAGACCCCCCUCUCUACAUACCUCAGAUUUCCUUUUAUUUCCUCCCCUCUAAUUAUCCUGCUUUCUUCUUUGGAUUCCCUUUGUCGCAGUCUUCUCAUUUCCUCUUUCUCUCGCCAGCUGCAAAGGUUUUCUUUGUCUGCCUAAUCUCCCGCUGCCCUCCUUGGAUUCCUCUUUCAAUUCUCCCCUUAGCUGUCUUGGGCAGCUUCUUUUUAUUAUUUUUUUUUUUGCUUGUCUUUCAACAUAUAGACAUAGAGAGGGACAAACCUUGUUUAUAAAAUGUAAAUUAAUAUUAUCAUGUGACAAUAAAAGGUAAUAUUGCAUAACAGAUCCUAUAAACACAAAAAUAACGUAAAUAGCUCAAAAAUAUAAGGAACUAACCAAGAAAAGACGAGUGAAUUCGAAGUAAAAAUAUAUAUAAAUAUGAUCCGAUCAUUGGUUGACAGUGCACGCUUAAAUUCCAUGCAUAAAUAUGAUGCUAGGAUAUAAGGGAGUUUCACCUAAUCGUUAUGAACUUAUAUUCAAAAGUAGUAAAGGUUGUUCGUCACAACCGUGUUAAGUAAAUUCUUGGCAUAAGUUUCAUACAAUUCAUAGUUACAAGUGUUUCGUCAAUGCUUAUGAUUUUCAUAGAACUUAAUGAUUCUUGCUUGUAUCU